rfam:Echinostoma caproni strain Egypt genome assembly, scaffold: ECPE_scaffold0019691
GACCUCGUAGCUCAGCUGGUAGAGCGUUCGCGUACAAAGCGUAGGCGGUGUCCACGCGUGGGUUUGAAUUCCACCGAGGCUA